GACGAACGCUGGCGGCGUGCUUAACACAUGCAAGUCGAGCGAUGAAGUUCCUUCGGGGAUGGAUUAGCGGCGGACGGGUGAGUAACACGUGGGUAACCUGCCUCAUAGAGGGGAAUAGCCUUCCGAAAGGAAGAUUAAUACCGCAUAAGAUUGUAGUAUCGCAUGAUACAGCAAUUAAAGGAGCAAUCCGCUAUGAGAUGGACCCGCGUCGCAUUAGCUAGUUGGUGAGGUAACGGCUCACCAAGGCGACGAUGCGUAGCCGACCUGAGAGGGUGAUCGGCCACAUUGGGACUGGGACACGGCCCAGACUCCUACGGGAGGCAGCAGUGGGGAAUAUUGCACAAUGGGGGAAACCCUGAUGCAGCAACGCCGCGUGAGUGAUGACGGUCUUCGGAUUGUAAAGCUCUGUCUUCAGGGACGAUAAUGACGGUACCUGAGGAGGAAGCCACGGCUAACUACGUGCCAGCAGCCGCGGUAAUAC
rnacentral:rRNA from 1 species